rnacentral:rRNA from 1 species
AGUGAACGCUGGCGGUAGGCCUAACACAUGCAAGUCGAACGGCAGCACAGUAAGAGCUUGCUCUUACGGGUGGCGAGUGGCGGACGGGUGAGGAAUACAUCGGAAUCUACUUUUUCGUGGGGGAUAACGUAGGGAAACUUACGCUAAUACCGCAUACGACCUACGGGUGAAAGCAGGGGAUCUUCGGACCUUGCGCGAUUGAAUGAGCCGAUGUCGGAUUAGCUAGUUGGCGGGGUAAAGGCCCACCAAGGCGACGAUCCGUAGCUGGUCUGAGAGGAUGAUCGGCCACACUGGAACUGAGACACGGUCCAGACUCCUACGGGAGGCAGCAGUAGGGAAUAUUGGACAAUGGGCGAAAGCCUGAUCCAGCCACACCGCGUGGGUGAAGAAGGCCUUCGGGUUGUAAAGCCCUUUUGCUGGGAAAGAAAAGCAGCAGAUUAAUACCCCGCUGUUCUGACGGUACCCAAAGAAUAAGCACCGGCUAACUUCGUG